UAGAUUUUCCAAGAAAAGUAUCUUGAAGUAUCUUGUUUUAUGGCCUUGACUUGAAAGAAGGAAGGUCUGGUCCGGAAAUUGAGGUAAGAUGGCAGCCUUUAAGCACAAAAGGACAACACCAAACACGAUGAAAAGAAAGAGAAGUGUGCACUUUCCAAGUCAUUUCACCAUUUUCCCCUUAACCGUGUCAGGCAUGCAAAGCGAUGACUCAACCACCAUCAUCUUCAAGAAACCACUCAACAGAGCGCAACGUUGCUGUCAACUGGUAUCUCCCAUGAACUUCACGUCAGUGCCACGUAUAAUAUGAGUUUUCCGCAGAAACGAAUUGAUCCGAGGUCAAAGAUUAGCCUUUUGACCCGUUAUGAUUGUCGGAUCUCAUUUCCGAUUGGCGCAAAGUGGAAGUUUGUUCAGUAAUCGAAAAUUAAUCCUUCGGGAGACGCAGGAUGAUGAGUCUACCGAUGGACAUGGAUGAGUAAUCAGUUAACUGGUUUGACUGGGGGAUAUCGAGACAUUAAUGGCUGUGAGAUCGUAUUGGUGUUUUGACAUCUUUGUUGUGCAACCCUUUGACUCUUCUGGAUAUGCAAUGAUUGGUUUUGUGAUGGUUGUUGGUGGAUGGCGAGGAGGGAAUCUCUGUACCUAGGUACCCGUGCAGGUCGUUGUCAAGUUUAUGUUCCGAUGAAUAUGAGUAAUCGUCGGCGGGCACCAUGCUUGAACGCAUCCGCAACUGGAACCGGUUCUAGGACUGCAUUAGUAUCAUUGAGGCAAAAACCACGAACCGAAGAGGGGUAUAGAGUGAAGAUGUGUUUCUAUUAAUUCGUUCGUAGUAAUAAUGUCAAC
rnacentral:lncRNA from 1 species